AACAAGUUGGGGCUUGUCUACAGUGAGAGGCCAGUGGGCUGAACUUCCUCAGCAGCAGCAGCAGGUUGAAUGCACUGUCCCUCUCUCACCAUUAGAUCAGGAAACCCUCGACCAAAGCAACAAGGGUCUGCUACACUGGUGACCAUUCCUGCUCUCACUUGCAUCCCGUGUGAGUGUGGAGGUCACCAUGGCAACCAAGCCUCAGGGCAAUAUGGGAAAGCUAAGGUUUGGCCCCAGUGAGAGGCUGAUCGCUGUGUUCAAGCAGUGCAGCAGAGAUCCAACCGAGGCCAUUAAAGCAAGACUGAGUCGUAUGUUCCACACAUUUCUUCAACACCAGAAAGGCGAUGAGAAGACCAACG